AAGUCUGUUCCAAGAUAUUUUUGCGGCAUAUUUUCUUAAAUCAUUCGAUAUUUAUAAAUACCUCUUGAUUCAGAUGAUGUUCAUUCAAUAGUAUGAAAAAAUCCCCUUUUGAAACGCCUCCUCUAGCUUGUCAGGUUUCAAUAAACGGCUAAAUAUAGAAAGUCUACGGGGAUUUUGCAUUGCAUCAGCCAUAAUUAAGCCCGGAUGAUAACGUUGAAAAAUUGUGCGAGAUAUUCCUAAUGACUUCCAAAUGGAGAAAUGAUGUAAACAUUCCCCAUUGAAUCUCAGUAGGAAAUUUGUUAUCGUUCCCGUGAAUUUUUACGAGGGAAGAAUGAUAAUAAGCGAAUGAAGUUAUGUUGGAAAUUUUCCCUUUGUUCGAUUUCAAUUGCACUUCUUUCACAGGUAUAUGUAUUUUUAAUAAAAAGUCGUCCAAAUAUGCAGCAAAAAUAUCUUGGGACAGACUUUAAAUAACAUUAAGGAUUCAAAAGGCAAAAAAGCUGUAUUAAAUUACCGUCGGGCAAUUUAAGUGAUAAGUCCUUUAUUAUAAAAAGAAACUGUGUUUGGAAA
rnacentral:sRNA from 1 species